GGAGAAGGUACGCUGCUGAUGGUGAUAGGACUUGCUCCUUGAGCUGUCGGCAGCCGCAGAAACCAGGCCGCUGCAACUGUUUAUUAAAAACAUAGCACUCUGCAAACACGAAAGUGGACGUAUAGGGUGUGAUGCCUGCCCGGUGCUGGAAGGUUAAUUGAUGGGGUUAGCGUAAGCGAAGCUCUUGAUCGAAGCCCCAGUAAACGGCGGCCGUAACUAUAACGGUCCUAAGGUAGCGAAAUUCCUUGUCGGGUAAGUUCCGACCUGCACGAAUGGCAUAAUGAUGGCGGCGCUGUCUCCAGCAGAGGCUCAGUGAAAUCGAAAUCGCUGUGAAGAUGCAGUGUACCCGCGGCUAGACGGAAAGACCCCGUGAACCUUUACUGCAGCUUGACACUGAACUUUGACCUUACUUGUGUAGGAUAGGUGGGAGGCUUUGAAGUAGGGACGCCAGUUCCUAUGGAGCCAUCCUUGAAAUACCACCCUGGUAAUGUUGAGGUUCUAACUCUGACCCAUAAUCUGGGUCGAGGACCGUGUCUGGUGGGUAGUUUGACUGGGGCGGUCUCCUCCUAAAGAGUAACGGAGGAGUACGAAGGUGCGCUCAGCGUGGUCGGAAAUCACGCGUAGAGUAUAAAGGCAAAAGCGCGCUUAACUGCGAGACCCACAAGUCGAGCAGGUACGAAAGUAGGUCUUAGUGAUCCGGUGGUUCUGUAUGGAAGGGCCAUCGCUCAACGGAUAAAAGGUACUCUGGGGAUAACAGGCUGAUACCGCCCAAGAGUUCAUAUCGACGGCGGUGUUUGGCACCUCGAUGUCGGCUCAUCUCAUCCUGGGGCUGAAGCAGGUCCCAAGGGUAUGGCUGUUCGCCAUUUAAAGAGGUACGCGAGCUGGGUUUAGAACGUCGUGAGACAGUUCGGUCCCUAUCUACCGUGGGCGCUGGAAAUUUGAGAGGAUCUGCUCCUAGUACGAGAGGACCAGAGUGGACGAACCUCUGGUGUACCGGUUGUGACGCCAGUCGCAUCGCCGGGUAGCUAUGUUCGGAAGGGAUAACCGCUGAAAGCAUCUAAGCGGGAAGCCUACCUCAAGAUAAGAUUUCCCCGUGACUUUAUGUCACCUAAAGAGCCGUUCAAGACCAGGACGUUGAUAGGUUGGAUGUGGAAGCAUAGUGAUAUGUGAAGCUGACCAAUACUAAUUGCUCGUGAGGCUUGACUA
rnacentral:rRNA from 1 species